rnacentral:misc_RNA from 1 species
AUUCUUAUGACGCAAUUAACCAUUGCUACAGUAGACUGUUUAAUAUCAUUGUUACAAUAGAAUUACCGAUGCUUGGAAAAAAAUGUCUUCAUAUGUAGCUAUGCUACUUGUACAAAACGCUACUGAAAGUUUCUUGCUAUUGUAUAGCUCUUUGUGCUAUUUUGUGAUGCUUUAAUUCAGUGUGUUUCUAGUCAUGCGCAAAGCAUACUUCUGGACUUCCGUGUGAUAUGUGUAUCUGUUGUGAAUGCCUGAGACAUUUUGUUUCUUCUGAUUUGCUUGUUGAUGAUUGUUAAUUCAGUGCUUUGAUUCAUUUUAUCACCAAAACUGUAAUAAACAUUCUUUCAG